rnacentral:rRNA from 1 species
CCUACGGGAGGCAGCAGUGGGGAAUAUUGGGCAAUGGGCGCAAGCCUGACCCAGCAACGCCGCGUGAAGGAAGAAGGCUUUCGGGUUGUAAACUUCUUUUGUCAGGGACGAAGCAAGUGACGGUACCUGACGAAUAAGCCACGGCUAACUACGUGCCAGCAGCCGCGGUAAUACGUAGGUGGCAAGCGUUAUCCGGCGUUACUGGGUGUAAAGGGCGAGUAGGCGGGACUGCAAGGCAGAUGUGAAAGCCACGGGCGCAACCUGUGGCCUGCAUUUGAAACUGUAGUUCUUGAGUACUGGAGAGGCAGACGGAAUUCCUAGUGUAGCGGUGAAAUGCGUAGAUAUUAGGAGGAACACCAGUGGCGAAGGCGGUCUGCUGGACAGCAACUGACGCUGAGGCGCGAAAGCGUGGGGAGCAAACAGGAUUAGAUACCCUGGUAGUC